GAAGGUGGCAAGCGUUGUUCGGAAUCACUGGGCUUAAAGCGCGCGUAGGCGGAAAGACAUGUGUCAUGUGAAAUCCCUCGGCUUAACCGAGGAAUUGCCUGGCAAACGGUAUUUCUUGAGGCAAGUAGGGGUACAUGGAACUCUUGGUGGAGCGGUGGAAUGCGUAGAUAUCAAGAGGAACGCCGAAGGUGAAGACAGUGUACUGGGCUUGUCCUGACGCUGAGGUGCGAAAGCGUGGGGGGAGCGAACGGGAUUAGAUACCCCGGUAGUCCACGCCGUAAACGAUGUCUACUAGGUUGUGGAGGUUCUGACACCCCCCUCACAGUCGAAGCAAAAGUGUUAAGUAGACCGCCUGGGGAGUACGGUCGCAAGGCUA
rnacentral:rRNA from 1 species